GAUGAAGAACGUAGCAAAAUGCGAUACUUGGUGUGAAUUGCAGAAUCCCGUGAACCAUCGAGUUUUUGAACGCAAGUUGCGCCCGAGGCCUUUUGGCCGAGGGCACGUCUGCCUGGGCGUCACGCAUCGCGUCGCCCCCCACAAUUCUCCGUAAAGGGAACAUGUGUUUUGGGGGCGGAUAUUGGUCUCCCGUGCUCAUGGCGUGGUUGGCCGAAAUAGGAGUCCUUUCGAUGGACGCACGAACUAGUGGUGGUCGUAAAAACCCUCGUCUUUUGUUUCGUGCUGUUGCUCGCAAGGUAAACUCUUUAAAAACCCCAAUGUGUCGUCUCUUGACGACGCUUCGACCGCGACCCCAGGUCAGGCGGGACUACCCGCUGAGUUUAAGCAUAUCAAUAAGCGGAGGA
rnacentral:misc_RNA from 1 species